rnacentral:rRNA from 1 species
UACGUAGGGGGCAAGCGUUGUCCGGAAUUAUUGGGCGUAAAGAGCUCGUAGGCGGUCCGUCACGUCGGCUGUGAAAACCUGGGGCUCAACCCCGGGCCUGCAGCCGAUACGGGCGGACUAGAAUUCGGUAGGGGAGACUGGAAUUCCUGGUGUAGCGGUGAAAUGCGCAGAUAUCAGGAGGAACACCGGUGGCGAAGGCGGGUCUCUGGGCCGAUAUUGACGCUGAGGAGCGAAAGCGUGGGGAGCGAACAGG